UACGUAGGAGACGAGCGUUGUCCGGAGUUACUGGGCGUAAAGGGUGCGCAGGCGGCCCUGCGCGUCGCGAGUGAAAUCUCCCGGCUCAACUGGGAGGGUGGUCGCGAGACGGCAGGGCUUGAGGCUCGGUGAGGGGCGUGGAAUUCCGGGUGGAGCGGUGAAAUGCGUAGAGAUCCGGAGGAACACCAACGGCGUAGGCAGCGCCCUAGACAAGACCUGACGCUCAGGCACGAAAGCGCGGGGAGCGAACAGG
rnacentral:rRNA from 1 species